rnacentral:tRNA from 1 species
CAGGAUGUAGGAAAGUGGACUACUCCGCGUGCCUCGGGCGCACGAGAUCGCUGGUUCGAAUCCAGCCAUCCUGAC